AGAUCAAGGAAAACGAGAUUCAGACUUAGAACGGGGGAAAAACAAAGAAUAUGACGAAUAAGUCCUUUUCACCGAUUGUGCUACCGAGUGUCACAGAUGCUAGCUCGAGUUGGAGGUCGUCGGAGAUUCUAUCACACUAACAAGUUAUUGAUUGGUAUUGUAUCAACGAUCUUCAAGUAUUUUUAAGUCUAUGGCAUGUAUAGGGGUUUGAUUAUGUGUGUAUAUGUUAUUAUGGGUUGGCCUAAAAUGUUGGCCUAUAAUAUUUGAUAGUUCAUUUUGAAAAA